CAAAAUUUGCCUUUAAAAUCUGGCAGACCGUUAUCGAAUUGAGCUCUAUAUAUCCACAUCUUCAUCUCUGCUUAUUAAGUCUAAGCUCAAUACAACAAUUUCUCUCUCUCGCCGCCAUUGGAAUAUGAAAAGGGUUAUGUACAUCACAUGAUUUUUGUGCAAAUACAUACUUGGCGGGCCAGAAAAUUUUUAGAGGAGAAAUCUUAGCCGUACAAUGACUCUCCAUUUUUGAGCGGUCGAUUCCACCUACCCUUUCAAUAAUUUUAAAAACAGUACUAUCCUUCAAUUUUCACGGUGGAGCAGCCUAGGAGACUAGUAGGUUACUCCCUCCGUCCGCUCUUUACCAUUUAUGGUAAUUAUGAACCGGGUCUCCUAUUCCCGGACGGACCAAAAUGGAUAAACGGGACGGAUGGAGUAUAACAAGCAAUGAUUGAUAAUUGAGCAAGGAAUUUGUUUGGACACCGCCAUAUGCAUCUAUAUGUAUAUAUAGUCACAUCUGCCCCCAGAAAUAGGAGCAACGAUCCACUUUAGCAGCUUGAUCAGUUAACUGUGUUGAGUUGACGAAGCUUUUUGUAUCGUCAUAUAUCAAUAAAUUUAGAAAUGAUGCUAUGACCAGUUAGGGUGUACAUUAUUCGUCAUGCUUCAAUUAUAUUGGUUUGCAUAAAAACGACCUGAGAUGUACCAAUGUUUUCCAUUCAUGGAAACUUAACUAAUUACCUCAAAUUUGCCGCAAUGAAUUAUUGUAUUCUUCGAGGUAAAACUAAGUUCCCUGCUUUUUAUUUUGGUAUUUACGACAUGACAUGUAAAGAUCUGUGUCACGCUAAAUUUGACUUGAUACAUUUGGUGGCCUCAUACAUGAAAUCUUUGGCACUAGACAGCGAUCACAGUGAACACAAAUAUUUUAAAAGCCAAGAAUAUUUUUAAAGAGCAAGCUAAUUAAUCUUUGCAAUGCAAUAUCUUUAUCAAAUUCAUUAAUUUUCAGUCUCCUCUUGCUUUGUUCAUCAGUGGUUGGAAACUAAUGGGGAUUAUUUUGAUAAUAUAGAGAUAUGUUUAUUUUACCCAGUCUUGUAGGCCGGACUUCUUCAUUUGGGUUAAAUGGAGAUUGAUCAUGAAAUGGUUAGUUUAAUUUAUGUUGUGGCCUGUGGGUGAAUUUAUAGUAAAAUAUGCUCAUGUAUCUUUUUAUUUGAAGCUAACAAUAACUCCCCCUUUUAAGGUAUAUAUAUGUAUAAUAUAUUACUAAUACUUAGUGAUUUAUAGCGGAGUAGCAUCAUUUAUCAUGUACCCCACAAAAUAUUUUCCGGGGUAAUAUUUGUACCUAUUUAUCGCUUAUAAAAUAAAAAGGCGUACUAUCUCAACAUAAAUAGUAGUCCUAAAUUAUUUUACUUAAAAAAAAAGUUGUAAACCUUAAAUCAAAACAUAGAUUAAUUUCUAAUUUGGGUGCAAUUUGGGGUAGAAUGGGUUGGUGAAAAUGUGAAUUAAAAAGGCAGAAAUCUUCACCAGUCGGUCAAAUCUAGAGUCACGUGUGAGAGCAUAGAUUUUAACCACUUUGAUUACUUCCACACGAGCCAAAUAUCUUUGGAACCUUUAUUUGUGUGCCUAUAAAUUCCACUCAUCAACAAUCAACAUGAUGCCGCCUCUGCAUCCAUGACUUUCUCUUCUCAUUUCUUCAAUUCUCCAUCUCCCUCGCACAAACACACACAUCUUAUCUUGGUUACAUCUGAUCUUUGCAACUUCCAUAAAUUUCUGAGUUUCUGUUGAAUUUUAAUUUAUCUAUGGUUUGUGCUCCUCAUAUUAAUUAGGGGUUUUCUCGGUGGAGAUGAUGAUGAUGAUGACAUGGAUUUGUGAGGUGAAACAAGUAAGUGAUUUCCAUAAUAUUCUUGUCAAGUGAGCUGUCGCCUUUUGCAGUUUGCCUUUGCUUCAUUGUCUGUUCGACCUUACAAACCCUAGUUUCUGCGCAUAAUAUUUUGAUUCAUAAGAUUUGUAUAUGUUAAGUAAACCACAUGAAUGAUUAAAAAUUUUAAAAUUAUUCUAGAUAUAUCCAUGAAAUCUCAAAUUACGGAUGAUCCUUUUGGAGAAUAGAGUUUGUGCAAACAAAUAUUCCUUUAAUUCUGAUUACAAGAUUGUUGAGUAAUAUUUUAAACGUUCCUUAAUAAGAUUUGCUAGUCAUGUUUUACAAGUAUAGAACUUUCACUGAAAAUAUAUGUAUUUAUAUUGUACUAUUUAUAAUAACCAGAAUUACAACAUAUAACCUUACUUUUGUGAUUAUCAUGGGUAAUUGAAUUAGUAAUCAACCGCGAUAUGUAUAUUAAUAGAUGUUGAUGAAUGAUGCAAUAUAUUAAAUCAUAAGAGAGUGUAUAUAUAUUUAUAAAAAUGAAGAAAUGAAUAUAGAACAUUUAGGAACUUGUACUUUCCUUAGAUUGCGCUGCAACAGAUUUAGCUUUGGAACCCUUCUAGUCUUGAAACUGCUGUAUAUUUAGUCAUCUAAGUACGUUACAAAGCCAACUGUAAUUCUCACUUUCUAUAAUUUAAAAACUCUAUCUACCUAAUAAAUACACGUGACAAUAUAUAUGGGUUGGUGUACAGUAUGGGUAUAAAUAAGUGAUGCUGUGUAAAUAGGGGGACCAUGGAAGCCCAUUGCCCAUUACUGCUUUAAUUUAACGUAGCAAACACUAUGGGAGUGUGUGUAUUCAAAUUUGUAAAGAUUAUGAUAAAAUAAAAUUGGUGAUCGUUUUAAUUAGUUUAAAGAUUUUGUAUGAAAUGAGACGCGAUAUAUAUGUUGUAGAUCGUUUUAAUUUGUCAAAAGUUUUAAAUGAAAUGAGAUACGAGAUUGAAAUAUGAGUUUGUGUGGUAGAUCGUUCAUGACGGUUACGAAAUUAAAAGGGUGUUUAAUUAGGAUUAGUUUAAGGUUGAACAGACAAUGAAGCUAAGUUAUACUUGCAACUGACUGCUGGCUUGCCAAGGCUAAGCAUGGGAAUCAAUUUUUCAGUUGCACCGGAAAUGGCAAGAGAUUUGCAGCAUCGAUAAUUUCCUGUAUGUUACUCCAUGUUUUUAAUCAUCUAUUUGCAGGGCAUUGAAUUGCUAUUAAUGAAUUUGUAUUUACAAAUACUUUAUAUGCAAUAAUACACCCCAUGUGUUGUACAUCA